rnacentral:rRNA from 1 species
UUUUUUGGUGACCGCUGGCAGUGUGCCUUAGACAUGCAAGUCGAACGAAGCACCUUUUUUGAUUCCCUUCGGGGAUGAUUAACUGGUGACUGAGUGGCGAACGGGUGAGUAACACGUGGGUGAUCUGCCCCCAAGUGCGGCAUAACAGUGGGAAACUGCUGCUAAUUCCGCAUAUGCUCCCGCCUUUUGUGGCGUGAGUAAAGAUUUAUCGUUUGGGGAUGAGCCCGCGGCACAUCAGCUAGUUGGUAGGGUAAAGGCCUACCAAGGCGACGACGUGUAGCCGACCUGAGAGGGUGACCGGCCACAGGGGUACUGAGACACGGACCCCACUCCUACGGGAGGCAGCAGUUAGGAAUCUUCCACAAUGGGCGCAAGCCUGAUGGAGCGACACUGCAUGAGGGAUGAAGGUUUUCGGAUCGUAAACCUCUGAACUAGGGACGAUAAUGACGGUACCUAGGUAAUAGCACCGGCUAACUCCGUGCCAGCAGCCGCGGUAAUCGGAGGGUGCGAGCGUUAUCCGGAAUCACUGGGCGUAAGGGCACGUAGGCGGUCUCUAAGUCCGAUGUUAAAGAGUGGGGCUCACCCAUCACGGCGUUGGAUACUGCAGGCUUGACACUGGAGAGGAAAGUAAAUACCAGUGUAGCGGUGAAAUGCGUAGAUACUGGAGG